rnacentral:rRNA from 1 species
CCUACGGGAGGCAGCAGUGAGGAAUAUUGGUCAAUGGUCGGGAGACUGAACCAGCCAAGCCGCGUGAGGGAGGAAGGUACAGAGUAUCGUAAACCUCUUUUGUCAGGGAACAAAGGCGGGGACGUGUCCCCGGAUGAGUGUACCUGAAGAAAAAGCAUCGGCUAACUCCGUGCCAGCAGCCGCGGUAAUACGGAGGAUGCGAGCGUUAUCCGGAGUUAUUGGGUUUAAAGGGUGCGCAGGCGGUCUGUUAAGUCAGCGGUCAAAGCCCGGGGCUCAACCCCGGCCCGCCGUUGAAACUGGCAGUCGCGAGUUGGAGAGAAGUAUGCGGAAGGCGCGGUGUAGCGGUGAAAUGCAUAGAUAUCGCGCAGAACUCCGAUUGCGAAGGCAGCAUGCCGGCUCCACACUGACGCUGAGGCACGAAAGCGUGGGUAUCGAACAGGAUUAGAUACCCGUGUAGUC